rnacentral:ncRNA from 15 species
UCCUUCCUUGUCUUGGGGAGCAGAAAUGUUCAAUGAACGUCUAGUGAGGACAUUGCUGCUGACACCAAUGAUAUAAUAACCCCCGCUCGCUGAUCUCUGCGAUUAGCGUUCGGAAUUUUUGGAAAAGACUCCCUUACUUCAUAGGGAGUCGU